UUAGAGACCGCCUUAAAUAUUUGGUGAUCCUUAUCUUCUACACCGACGGUCCAUUUUCUUGCACCACCACGACUCCUUAAUUUUUUCACAGCUUCUGUCGUUCAACGUUUUCUCUUCAACCCACCAUUUUCUUCCUUUGAUGCCUUCCUGUAGAUUUGUGAGGCGGCGAUGCAUGAGGAGUGCCUUUGAGGAGCAUAGUUGUUUCGAGUCGCUUCGUCGGAGAAACCAAUAUACCGGAGGUGCUUUGUCGACGUUGUAGGCGACUGGUGUUGGCCAAGUCGGUCUGUGGAAGUGGUCCACCUUUGAGGAGCAUUGUUGUUCUGAGUCGCUGACCCCUCCAACGUCUCUAUCAUCGUAACUUCCCUCCUGACUUCAUCACUGUUUCUGUUGUGUUUUUGGUUUCACCCAGUUUUUGGUUUCACCGUCGAAGCCCUACAAACAACCUGUUUCAUCUCUGGAAACGCUAGACGACCAUCACCGCAGCCUCCACAGCUCGCUAUGGAGAUUCCUCCGUUGGUGGUUACCAGAUGCUUCCAUUUGCUAACCUAGGACCAAGCUUGCAUCUUCUUUACCGAUCCCGACUGUCAUAUCCACCAUCGCUCCUACGCCUUUGUUCGUCCAGAAAAACGCAACAAUGAUUAUCUGGUGUACAUCGUAAGAGGUUUCUCUUCAAUUGAUGGAAACCCGGUCGCAUGCCACACACCUUCUGGGCACUUUGUUAACAAUCGUCGCCUCUCACAAGCAUGCCUCCAAUUCAGAUUGUAAAUCAAGUGGCUUUGAAAACACUGAUAGUUAUCCAUAGGACACUAAGGGAAGGUGAUACAACUUUUAGGGAAGAACUUGUAAGUUUCCAACAAAGAGGGUGUGUUCUUCAAAUUGCUAAUUUCAAAGAUGAUUCAAGCCCUAUUGCUUGGGAUUGUUCUGUUUAGAUGCGUACAUAUGGGCUUUUCUUAGAAGAAAGACUUGAAUGUUUUAGAGUUUUUAAAUAUGAUAUUGAAGCUGAAAAAAUCCCAACACUUGCUCAAGGUCAAGAAAAUAAGGUAUUUUUUUAUAUAACAUUAAUUAAUUUCAAGAAAAUGAU